rnacentral:rRNA from 1 species
GAUGAACGCUGGCGGCGUGCCUAAUACAUGCAAGUCGAGCGAACGGACGAUAAGCUUUCUUUUCUGAUGUUAGCGGCUGACGGGCGAGUAACACGUGGAUCACCUACCUAUAAGACUGGGGGAACUACGUGAAACCAGAGCUAAUACUGCAUAAUAUUUUGUACCGCAUAGUUCAAAAGUUAAAGACGCUCUUGCUAUCACUUAUAGAUGGAUCCGCGCUGCAUUAGCUAGUUGGUAAGGUAACGGCUUACCAAGGCAACGAUGCAUAGCCGAUCUGAGAGGGUGAUCAGCCACACUGGAACUGAGACACGGUCCAGACUCCUACGGGAGGCAGCAGUGGGGAAUCUUGCACAAUGGGCGAAAGCCUGACGCAGCAAUGCCGCGUGAGUGAUGAAGGCCUUCGGAUCGUAAAGCCCUGUUAUUAGGGAAGAAAAGAUGUGUAUGUAUCCCCGCCCGUUUUGACGGUACCUAAAGAGAAAGCACCGGCUAACUUCGUG